UCUCGAUCAAUAGUCACUUGUUGAUUGAUUAUCAGCCUUGAUCCGAAUUAAAUAAAUUGCGUAAAUUGAAUUGAAUCAAUUAAAUUGGACUAAAAUUAGUCCAAAAUGUAACUCUUGCCGUUCAAGAGUGUUAAUUGUAGCCGUUAAAGUGAAGCUAAUUGAGUAAAUCUAAAUCGAGUGGUUAACUAAGCCAAGUGAGACAAGGUAUUAUUAAUGUUAUGUAAUUUUAAUGUGUUUAAGUAAUGUGCAAGUUGUAUCAAUGAUCAUUGUACAUCGUCCAAGCGAUCAAGGUUUGCUUCAAUCGGAGCCAGUUUGUUUCUCUCCUCAAUAAUCCAAUUAAUGUUGGAAAGUCAAGCUUAAUUAUGAUUAAUCUGAACCGAGAAAUGAAUCAAUGAGAAGCUUAAAUCAAUAUCAAUAAUGGUUACCUGAAGAAAAGGGUGAAUUUGAAAAGGAAAAUUUGGCCUUUUUGUAUGCAUCAACAACCUCAAAGUGAUAAUGGUUUAUCUGGUAACCAGCAGAAGCACCAGUAAAAAUUAACAAUUUGGGCAACAACACAAUUUGUUAAUCUGAUAGCCAAAUAAUAAUAUUGAUGAAAAUGAAAUUCACGCCACUAAUCAAAUUACCAUGAAUAAUGAAGGUUUAACCAAUAAUCAAGGUUAUCAUUUUAAUUCCCUUUGAUUUACUCUCUUAACCUCUCUUUUUUCCGUUCAAUUUUUUUCUCUCUCUCUUAAAUUAUUCCAGCUAAUCAUUAUUGAAAUUAUCAUUAUUAUUAUUAUAUUAUUAUUAUUAUUUCAUUAUUCAUUUAUCCUUCUUCUUCUUCCUGAAAUGUUCAUCAUGUAAGGAGAAACGAUAAACACAUAUACAGUCUGAACGAUGAAUACAGAUUGAAGGUAAUCCUUUCAAGAUCAUAACCAUUUUGUCUUCCAUUAAGUUGCUUUACUGUUCCAUUAAACAGGUAGAACAAAAAACAUUUCAAAA